GAUGAAGAACGUAGUGAAAUGCGAUAAUUAAUGUGAAUUGCAGAAUUCAGUGAAUCAUCGAGUCUUUGAACGCACAUUGCGCCCCCUGGUAUUCCGGGGGUCAUGCCUGUCCGAGCGUCAUUGCUGCCCUCAAGCACGGCUUGUGUGUUGGGCUUCCGUCCCUGGCAACGGGGACGGGCCCAAAAGGCAGUGGCGGCACCAUGUCUGGUCCUCGAGCGUAUGGGGCUUUGUCACCCGCUCCCGUAGGUCCAGCUGGCAGCUAGCCUCGCAACCAAUCUUUUUAACCAGGUUGACCUCGGAUCAGGUAGGGAUACCCGCUGAACUUAAGCAUAUCAAUAAGCGGAGGA
rnacentral:misc_RNA from 1 species